AAUGGGUCAGCGACUUAUAUUCUGUAGCAAGGUUAACCGAAUAGGGGAGCCGAAGGGAAACCGAGUCUUAACUGGGCGUUAAGUUGCAGGGUAUAGACCCGAAACCCGGUGAUCUAGCCAUGGGCAGGUUGAAGGUUGGGUAACACUAACUGGAGGACCGAACCGACUAAUGUUGAAAAAUUAGCGGAUGACUUGUGGCUGGGGGUGAAAGGCCAAUCAAACCGGGAGAUAGCUGGUUCUCCCCGAAAGCUAUUUAGGUAGCGCCUCGUGAAUUCAUCUCCGGGGGUAGAGCACUGUUUCGGCAAGGGGGUCAUCCCGACUUACCAACCCGAUGCAAACUGCGAAUACCGGAGAAUGUUAUCACGGGAGACACACGGCGGGUGCUAACGUCCGUCGUGAAGAGGGAAACAACCCAGACCGCCAGCUAAGGUCCCAAAGUCAUGGUUAAGUGGGAAACGAUGUGGGAAGGCCCAGACAGCCAGGAUGUUGGCUUAGAAGCAGCCAUCAUUUAAAGAAAGCGUAAUAGCUCACUGGUCGAGUCGGCCUGCGCGGAAGAUGUAACGGGGCUAAACCAUGCACCGAAGCUGCGGCAGCGACGCUUAUGCGUU
rnacentral:rRNA from 1 species